rnacentral:rRNA from 1 species
GACGAACCGUGCGAACGUUGUUCGGAAUCACUGGGUUUAAAGGGCGCGUAGGCGGGCUGUCAAGUCGGUGGUGAAAUCUUUCGGCUCAACCGGAAAAUCGCCUUCGAUACUGGCGGCCUUGAGGGGGGUAGGGGCAUGCGGAACUUCCGGUGGAGCGGUGAAAUGCGUAGAUAUCGGAAGGAACACCGAUGGCGAAAGCAGCGUGCUGGACCCUUUCUGACGCUGAGGCGCGAAAGCCAGGGGAGCAAACGGG